ensembl:snoRNA
CCUACUCCUAGAGGCAUUGCAGAUGUGACUGCUGUGACAUAUGUACGUCAGUAGGUGGCAGAGAGCAAAGAAGCUAUGUCUGUCAUUUUUUAAUUACAUAUU